rnacentral:rRNA from 1 species
GACGAACGCUGGCGGCGUGCUUAACACAUGCAAGUCGAACGGAAAGGCCUGUCCUUCCUUGUGUUGGACGGGUACUCGAGUGGCGAACGGGUGAGUAACACGUGAGUGAUCUGCCCCCAACUUGGGUAUAAGCCUGGGAAACUGGGUCUAAUUCCCGAUAGGACUGCAGGGUGGUGCCUGUGGUGGAAAACGAUUUUCUAGUGGUUGGGGAUGAGCUCGCGGCCUAUCAGCUUGUUGGUGGGGUAAUGGCCUACCAAGGCGGCGACGGGUAGCCGGCCUGAGAGGGUGGACGGCGACAUUGGGACUGAGAUACGGCCCAGACUCCUACGGGAGGCAGGAGUGGGGAAUAUUGCACAAUGGGCGGAAGCCUGAUGCAGCGACGCCGCGUGGGGGAUGAUGGCCUUCGGGUUGUAAACUCCUUUCGACCGCGAGGAAGCCGCCUGGUUGGAAGGGUGGUGACGGUAGUGGUAGAAGAAGCACCGGCUAACUACGUG